GUGAGGAGUAACCACUCGGAAACAUGUAUUUAGAAUACAGCAUGUUUAGUACAGUCGUUGACCCCACAGAGACUACUCAAGACUGUGGGGAUCUCAUGGUUCUGCCUAUUUUGCUGUUAACAAUGAAUAAUGAUUUCGAGUCAGGAUUUAAAAUUCUAUCUCAUCAACAUUAUGCUUCCUCCCUGUCUCCAUCUUCUUCUUCUUAUCCCUUCUUUCUUUUUCCCGUGUGGAAAUCAAGCAUAUUUUAUAUACUACCCCAUAGCCAGGCAAGCCUCAGUGCAACGAUCCCUGUGAGUUGGAAGAACUUUGCUUCUUUACAACUUAUUUCUGGCAAACAGAAUCAGGGACUGCCGGCUCUAAGUUUUCAUUCUGACCUGGUGCUUGCAGUAACCACUGUGUGUGAGCCAUCAAAGCAUUAAUGUUGUUGCCACUUUCCAGGCUGAAGAAAGCCUUUUUUAAGGUCUGUGGCUAAACUGGUGCUGUUUGGCAGUCCACCUGGCCAUGAGUGUGUGAGACACUUGGGAUCAUUAGUGAAUCUCUGAACCCUGAGUAUUCAAUAAAACACAGACUUGGGACUGUUUCCCUCUCCAGAGCAACCCACAAGGGAAAAUGAAUUCCUGCUCCCCACACGGAUUUUCAUAACAUAGAACAAGAGGAAUACUACUUACAAGGCUCUCUUCCUGUUGAGAGAUCAAUGUGUCUCUAAGCCUUGAAUCAUCUGUAUCAUGGUUUAAGCACAAAUUCUCCACAGCUCAGAUUUGCAACAUCUAAGACACAAUUUUGUUAAUAGGUUCUUUGCCUAAAGGGAUAUGAGGUUUUGCCUCCUGGUUUGGGGAAGGUGUGUGGCAAGACCGAUCUGAUGGCUGACAGUGUGUAUCAGGCUAAGAACACUGGGAGGAGUCAACAAGCUAGAGGCCCAGCAAGCGUUAAGAUUCACAUCAGUAUUAAAUAUGGACGUGCUCAGUAUCAUCUGAGGGGAUGGCUUCAAGGUGGAAGUUUUUAUGUUCAUUUUUCUCCAGACUGUUACAUUUUCUGUAAUGCUAUGAAAAGCCUUCAUUUCCCUUUCCCCAGUAUUGAAGUUCAAAAAGCUAGCUCUCAGCCAUGGACUAAUGUGGAUUUAGUUUCCUAUGUGAGAAUUUGUGUUAGUUUUCCUCAGGGAUAUAUGUAUGUGUACAGACUCCUCAUCUUUCCGCUCGGCAGUGCCGCUUACCUGUGCUUACACUUACCUUACACGUGUUCCCUGGUCAAGGUCACUUG
rnacentral:lncRNA from 1 species